CUUAUUCUCACUUCCUGACACAGUGUCACUUUUCUCUCUUUGCGCAUGUGACCCAGCCUAAAACACAGGUCUAUCAAGUAUCCUGUAAGACCUCAAUAUCCUCCAUAUAUCUUCUUCUGCCACAUAGAAAGCGAGAUUUCUUAUCAGGAGCACAUUACAUUUGAGGAUAUGUGGUGAUAGAAUAAUGUGUGUAUAUGUAUUUCUGAAGGGG